AUGGCAGCGUCCAUACCAAAGUACAUAGAGCGCUAUGGAUAAGUCCAGUGUGGUCUGACUACAGGAGGAACCACAAAUGAGGGAUCCCCCCUUCAGAAGACACACAAGACCUGCAUUAGAUGAGACAAGAUAUGUGGGAACCCCCAUCCAAUUUGUCGAGACCCCAACGUCAUCAUCCACUAUCAGAAUGUGAAGCUGCAGCAACAGUUUAUCAGUCCAUAUACAGGCGUUGUGUAUGACCCCACACGGACAGGGCUACUACCCUUCCAGGUUCCUCAUGUGGACUUCACAGGGGAGGACUAUUCCAACUCCCAUAACGCAGUUGGUUUAACCCCUCCUCCCCCCACCGUGACCCCUUGGUACAGAUGGUACCACACCAUGCAGCUAGACGAGACUGAAGUGGCUCAAGUCAAGAAGACCUACAAGACCUAUUUGACAUAGACUAGGGCAUAUCAGAGGAAUCAUGGUGAAAAUUCUCUCACAUGCUUCGCUAACAAUAUGUAGACUAACAGUGACGUGCUUACUUACAGGCCCCUUCCCAACAAGGCAUAAAAAAAAUUAAAAAAAUAAAUGUGAGUAACAAUAACUUUUCUAUAUCCACGGGGUACCAGUACCGAGUCAAUAUGCAGAGGUACAAGGUAAUUGAAGUAGAUAUUUUUUAUUUGAUCUUUAACUAGCGAAGUCAGUUAAGAAAAAAUGUUUAUUUACAAUGACAGCCUACCCUGUACAAACCCUAACCACGCUGGACCAAUUGUGCACUGCCCUAUGGGACUCCCAAUCACGGCUGGUUGUGAUACAGCCUGGAAUCGAACCAGGGUCUGUAGUGACGCCUCUAGCACUGAGAUGCUGCGCCACUUGGGAGCCCGGAGAUACGCGUGUAACAGAAUGAUAAGUGAAUUAUCAUGUACAGUACAUGCUACAAUAUGGACCAUCAAUGGGAUAAAUCUGUCUAAACUGUUCAUUUGUAUUCAGAGACAAGUUGUACAAUAAAGACAUUAAGAUGCAAAAUCCA